GGGGGUAUAGUUAAAUAUAACAUCUAAAUUGCAAUUAGAAGGAACUAAUUAUAGUUGCCCUCA
rnacentral:tRNA from 1 species